rnacentral:rRNA from 1 species
UAGGGAAUCUUCGGCAAUGGACGAAAGUCUGACCGAGCAACGCCGCGUGAGUGAAGAAGGUUUUCGGAUCGUAAAACUCUGUUGUUAGAGAAGAACAAGGACGUUAGUAACUGAACGUCCCCUGACGGUAUCUAACCAGAAAGCCACGGCUAACUACGUGCCAGCAGCCGCGGUAAUACGUAGGUGGCAAGCGUUGUCCGGAUUUAUUGGGCGUAAAGCGAGCGCAGGCGGUUUCUUAAGUCUGAUGUGAAAGCCCCCGGCACAACCGGGGAGGGUCAUUGGAAACUGGGAGACUUGAGUGCAGAAGAGGAGAGUGGAAUUCCAUGUGUAGCGGUGAAAUGCGUAGAUAUAUGGAGGAACACCAGUGGCGAAGGCGGCUCUCUGGUCUGUAACUGACGCUGAGGCUCGAAAGCGUGGGGAGCAAACA